CUCAAACCUGCAGAUUGUUGGUUGGACAUGAGGGGGAGCUGCGGCUCAUCUGCAGGUAAUGGCGCCCUCUGCUGGCUGCUCUGGAAACCUGCAGGCUGCUGGUGCUCUGCUGCCGACAGAGUUUCCUCACUGACUGUGAAAGGGAAGCUGCUGCCGCCUGAAUCAGACGCAGCUGAAACACUCACACUGGUGUUCAACACAUACGAGCAGCCGGGAUCCUCACUCAAAGGAUUCUGGGUACUGUGGGAGCCAUGUUGGAGCUGUGGCUCGUACAUCAGGCAGUCAUAACUGCUGGUUUCUGACCUCUGGCUGGCGUUCAGGGUUUUUUGGAUGGACAUGGUGGUGGAGCUGACUUCCCCACUCACCCACGACCGAGCUGAACUGUCGCCUUCGUCUGCUUCUUCCUGUUUGGUCAGUGGCGGAGGGGCUUCUGUCUCCAUCGACUGUCCAUCAACAACACGACAGAAAUCUCCUGAGUCUGAGGACAGAUUGUCUCCACACCGCAGAGUCUCCGGGUUGGACGCUCUGGACAAAGACACCUGACCUGCAGGCAUAAAGGUAAAAUACCCGGGACUCCCCACCAGUAAUAGAACUGAAGAAGCCCCUUGGAUGAGAGGUGAAACAUCUUCAACCAAGUCCAGUUGCCCUCGAUUAACGCUUUUUGGAAAUAGUCUGAUAGCUUGGGGCAAAAGCUGCUCUGCAGUCUGGUGGUGUGACUGUAGCCCAGAAGGCAGCAGGGUGAACAGGCUGUGGCUGGUUGGAUGUUUAAGCUUCACUGUGCAGACUGAUUUGACAUCAUCAGGCUCCUUUCAUUCAUUUGCAAUUUAUACAAGUGAUGUACCCGCGACCCGACCCCAGAUAAGUGGAUGAAGAUGGAUGGAUGGAUAAGUGAUGUAGAAAUGUGGCAUUGCCAGUGCACUUACACCAAGAGUGGGAUUUACAGUGAUGUAGGAGACAUCUUGUGUCCAGCAGGGAAACUUCAGAAAUCAACAAAAUUUGCAUAUUUAUAGAUUCUGGAGUUUUUAAUGAGCAAGGUGUGGAGACCUUAAGGAUUUUAAUGAGGAAACACAUUUUGCUAUGGAAAACAAAAAACAUCACACAUGUUUCAAGCAGACAAUAUGAUUAAGUACAUGUUAGGAGGGGGUCUUAAAAAAGCAGUUUUGAAUAUUCUCUUUAUGGCCAUUUUGUGUCUGUUAGCCUUUUAACAGUGAUGAAAAACUGAGUUUUUAUGAAUCCGAUCAGUAUCUGCUCAAAUGAUUAUAUAACAUCAAGGAACACAACAUCAUGGUAGCAUCAUAACAUGACCGCAUCACAAGAAAACAACCUGUUAACAAUUAUCAUCUUAUCCUGUGUAAACAACCCUUUGACUUCUCUUGUUUUUAAAUUUUUUUUAUAAAAAGGUAAUAACUGGUACAAAACAAUUUAAUCAUUUGUUUUAUUAACCAAGAAUGACACAAACGAACUGUGACUUUCUACACGACUAAAUGGUUUCUGAGCUUUAGGCUACACUACAGACUUUAAGAGCAGAGACAAAGCAAAUUUUAGGUCUCAUACCAAAAUCAGGCAUCUCCUAUUUCAUUAAAUGAGAUGCUGUAAUGCAUUGUAAAAGCACAAAAGGCUGAACAAUCCCCAUAAAAAUGUCCUCCAUACUUGAAGAUGUUUGGCCUCUCAUCCAGCAAAACCUCUUCUAGUGUCUUCAACCACAUCCAGUUACCCUUGAUUUUAACCUUCCUUGGAUGACUUUACUAUAACUCAAUUAUCAAAAUAGUUGCUGAUGAAUUUUCUGUCAUUCAUUAACUGACUGGGUGCCCUGUUAGCUCACCUGGGAUAACCCUGAGUCCUCUGUUUAUAUUCCAAGCCGUGGCCCUUUGCUGCAUGUCAUCCCCUCUCUCUCAUGCCUUUCCUGUAUCUCUUAAGCUGUCAGUAUCAAAUAAAGGCAAAAAUGCCCCCCAGAAAACAAGAAAUUAACUGAUUAAUAGACUGAUAAAUAAACUCAAUUUGCCUUCUGCACCUUUAGAAAACUUUAACUUUUUUUCCUUUUAAAACUGGAUAUUUACAGAACAUUUUGGAACGAAACCCCCGCUCAUCCACUCUCAGACGUUGGGGUGACAUUUCUUCAUGUGUAAUUUGAGGCUAUAUUUGACGAUGAAGCUCCUGGAGCAGAGUGUGCAGGCGUACGGCCGCUCUCCGGAGUGAACGCUCAGGUGCGACUUCAGAUGAGCUGACUGGGUGAACUUCUUGCCGCACUGGCUGCAACUGAACGGCCUCUCGCCCGUGUGGAUCCGCAUGUGAACUUCCAGGUUCUGAGACGUGGCGUACGUCCUGUUGCAGAUGGAACACACAAAGCGCUUCCCCCGUGCGCCGGCGUUCGGCUGCCCGUUACACAGCUGAGAUCGACCUGACUGAUCCCUGUAGAGGGCAAAGUUCAUCAUGUCGCCGUCAUCGUACUCAAACGCAGAGUUGCUGCUUUCAGACAGCUGGCAGUCUGUGGAAGUCGAGCCUGAGACGCUGAUCAGCUUGAUCCCAAAAGCGUCGCCGUCCACGUUUUCGCUUUGGUGAAACUGAGCAAAAGUCAUCUGACUUUUCGACUGCUUGGUCCACGUCAGGCUGAGGUCUAGUUCUGCUCUGUUUGUAGGUGACUGUGCCUCCAUCAGAGCGCUGUUACCAAAAUACGCUGUUUGUCUGUUAGCGCUAGGCGGGACCAGCGAGCACUCCUGGUGAACCAGCUGGACGUCCGGGUCCAUCUGAGAGGAGUAGGAACAAACCGACUCGCCGGCCUCCAUCUCAUCACCGCCAAGCUGUCCGGAGCAGCCCGGCUCACUGCGAGGAGAGUCCAGCGUGUAGACGGACAAGCUCUUCUUCUGUGUCCCUGCACUCACUUUGGAGGUUUUCAGUGUGAGCUGCUCAGAUGUCUUCCUCUCAGUGUCUUCGCUUCCCGGCCAGUGUCUCUUCAUACUCCGGCUGAUCGGACUCGACGUGGCGCCCUCUCUGGCUGCAGCCGUCCCUCCAUCAGCAGGUGUUUUGUUAUCUGAAGGAAAAAACAAAAUACAUCACAUAGCUGGGGAAAAAAAUGCAUUGCCAGUGCUCUGCAGUCACAUCCUGGUUGCGAGUCACCAAGUCGAGUGUGACCAGAUAUGAAUCGCUACUAUGAACUGGGAGUGUUUAGGUGAUGUGACUCACUGUGUAAUAAUAGCUCAGCAAAGACAAGGACUGGGCUGAAUACAAGCGCAAAUCCAAGUUUGAAAAGUGUAGCACAUGCAGAAGUGCCUUAAACCUGCAUUCUUUGGCCAGCAGGGGGUCAGAUUGUUUAGAAGUCUGAGAAAAUGAAGCUACUUCUCACCUGAUUUAUUACGAAGAAGCCCACUGAGAAUCAUUUAAGGAAGACCUGGCCAAGAAAGGCAGAAGAAUGGAAUUUAAAGGAAUCACUGUCACCAGGAAGUCAUUGCUCGAUCCUAAAGUACUGAAGUGGACCCAAAAUGGCCCACUAUAUUUGAGUGCUCGCAGGCGAACGGCCGCUCUCCGGUGUGAACACUCUGGUGCGUCUUCAGGUGUCCCGACUGCGUGAAACGCUUCCCGCACUGAGCACAGCUGUACGGACGCUCGCCCGUGUGAACACGCACGUGCGUCUCCAGGCUCCGUGACGACGUGAAGCAUUUCCCGCAGUAGCUGCAGACGAAGCGCCUGUCCCUGCAGUACCUGUUAAGGUCCAGCGGGUCCAGUCUGGAUCCCCCGAGACCGAGUGCUAAGGGGAAACUUGCAGCAUUCAGGUCAGAGACUUUGUCCAGGAGUGUUGGCCGGUGGGGGACGGGCACCAUGCUCGGCAGGCUCUGACUGGUCCAUGAAGAGCACAGAUCCAGCUCUGUGUCAUAGGGGAGGGAGUUGAUCAGAGACGCGCCCCGCUUCAGCUCAGAGGUCCCAGGCAGGGGGGUGGGACUUGUUCCAGAGCCAAACAUAAACGGCUUCCUUGUCUGGACUGCAGACGGAGCUUCACAGUCCGACUCUGAGGCCAAGUCAAACACCACAUCUGAAGAAUUUCUCUCAGCGCCCCCUGCAGGGCCUGGAGACCCAGGAGACCCCAGUGCACUGUGGGAUUGUUGAUGCUCGACUCGCUCAGACGGUCCAUUACUGUUCUGAUCCCACAGCCUCACGUCGGCCCCUGAGGUGGAGACCACCAUCCCAGAGGGUCCUUCGUCACUGUCAUCUGUAUCUGACAGCUGCACCUCCGUUCCUUCACACAAACACACCAACAAACACCCAGUGUCAAAUACAGAAGCAGUGACUUCAAGACAAAGACUAGUGUGACAAAAACUACUGUCAAAAUGUCUAUUUUUAAAUAAAACGUAUGCACUA